rnacentral:rRNA from 1 species
CCUACGGGAGGCAGCAGUGGGGAAUUUUGGACAAUGGGGGAAACCCUGAUCCAGCCAUCCCGCGUGUGCGAUGAAGGCCUUCGGGUUGUAAAGCACUUUUGGCAGGAAAGAAACGUCGUGGGUUAAUACCCCGCGAAACUGACGGUACCUGCAGAAUAAGCACCGGCUAACUACGUGCCAGCAGCCGCGGUAAU